rnacentral:rRNA from 1 species
UAAUUUGAUUAUUAUAAAAUUAUUGUUUAUGGGAUGGAAGAAAUAGUUGUAAGUUUUAGUAUAAACAAGGAAAUAAUAGGGAAAGUGAUAGUUUAUUAGUACAGUGAUGGGAUUUUGUAAGGUUUAAGAAGAAUUUUUUAUUUAGAGUACCUUUUGUAUCAGGGUUUAUCAAAAAAGUAUUUUGAAUAAGGAUUUCUCGAAUUUAAGAGGGCUAAGAAAGUAUAUAUUUUAUUGUGGAAAAAAUAUUUGUAAUACUUUUUUUGGAAUGAAAUAUUAGUCGUUCUUUAAUAUAUCUAGUUUUCUAAGAAAUUAAUUUAAUUAAGCUGGUUUGUAAAUGAUUUGUGUAAGAAAUGAAUUUAGGGGUCAAGUAAUAUUUAAGGGGAUAAGCUUUUAAGUAAAUUAUUAAAACGUUCUGGUUGUUUAAGAUUAAAUAGGAAUAGAAGUUUUCAUUUUUUAAAGUGAGUUGUAUCAUAGUUUUUGAGGAAGUGAUUUUUAGGGGUUUAAGUUUUUUAUUAGAUAGGGAAAAUGAAUUUUGUAUUUUAUGUUAUAAUGAUGAAAUUAGUAUAAUGAGUUGUUUAAUUUAUUGGGAUUUGUAAGAUUAAGAUAAGGAAUUCGGCAAAAGGAUUCUCUGCCUGUUUAUUAAAAACAUGGCCUCUUGAGAAUAAUUUGAGGUCUGGCCUGCCCACUGAGAAGUUUAAGGGCCGCGGUACUCUGACCGUGCAAAGGUAGCAUAGUCAUUAGUUUUUUAAUUGAAAGCUGGAAUGAACGGUCGGACGAGGGAAUAACUGUCUUUUUUUAAUUUGUAGAAUUUUAUUUUUUAGUAAGAAAGCUUAAAUGAAUUUGAGGGACGAGAAGACCCUAUAGAAUUUUAUAAAUGGUUUUUGGGUUGAUUAUUAGGUUUUAAUUUGGUUGAUUUGAAAGGUAUUUAUUUUGUUGGGGUGACAGGAAAAUUUAAUGAACUUUUUUUCAGGAUGUUCACUUAUGUGUGAAUUGUUGAUCCACAAUUAGUGAUUAUAAGAUUAAAUUACCUUAGGGAUAACAGCGUUAUUAGUUUGGAGAGUUCUAAUCGAUAAACUAGUUUGCGACCUCGAUGUUGGAUUAAAAUAAACUUGUGGUGUAGGGGCUACAAAGUUGAGUCUGUUCGACUUUUAAAAUUUUACAUGAUCUGAGUUUAAACCGGUGUGAGCCAGGUUGGUUUCUAUCUUCAGAAAAUUUUAAUAUUUUAGUACGAAAGGACCAAGUAUUAAUUUAAUAAGUUUAGAUUUGUUUAAUAUU